rnacentral:rRNA from 1 species
UACGAAGGGGGCUAGCGUUGCUCGGAAUCACUGGGCGUAAAGCGCACGUAGGCGGCUCUUUAAGUCAGGGGUGAAAUCCUGGAGCUCAACUCCAGAACUGCCUUUGAUACUGGGGAUCUCGAGUCCGGGAGAGGUGAGUGGAACUCCGAGUGUAGAGGUGAAAUUCGUAGAUAUUCGGAAGAACACCAGUGGCGAAGGCGGGUCUCUGGGCCGACACUGACGCUGAGGAGCGAAGGCGUGGGGAGCGAACAGG